AUAAGUAAAGUUGUAGAUUGUAAUUUAUGUAAUUGACAAUAGUGUAUCAAAUAGGCCCUAUACUUUUAUAGUUUUCCUAUUGUCGCUAUAUAAUAUUAAAACUAUUUUCGGAAAUUGAUUUAUUUUUUUAGUAUAUACUCAGUUUUGCAAUUUGCUUUUACGGCAUUAUCUCUAUCAAGUGCACCGCGCACGUUUACUUCGCCUAGUCGCAUCACCGACUGCUGCAGUGCUGCUGCUGUCAAGUGUCAAUAUCAAUCGUCUUCUAAAAGGCGUUAAAAUUAUUAUUUUAGUUAUUCAUAAGGUUAUUACAUUCCUCCGCGCAUAACCAAUAUCGGAACGGUUUUUAUCUAAUAAAUCGCACAAGGCACGAGUGAUACAUUUUGAUAACUUGUGUUCCAUCUUGGGAAAAUGUCCAACAACGAUUGUAGGAUUUACGUGGGAAACCUGCCGCCUGACAUACGCACGAAAGACAUACAAGAUUUAUUCUACAAAUUCGGUAAAGUGUUGUUUGUGGAUUUGAAAAAUCAGAGAGGACCACCGUUUGCCUUUGUCGAAUUCGAUGAUCCUAGAGAUGCAGAAGAUGCAGUUCAUGCAAGAGAUGGUUAUGAUUAUGAUGGCUAUAGAUUACGUGUAGAGUUUCCACGUGGUAAUGGUCCACAUAGAAGUGGUGGCAGUAGUAGUGGUGGUGGAGGUUACAAUCGAGGAGGUGCUAGUGGUGGAAGUGGAAGAAGCCGAGGUCCACCGGCUAGGCGUUCUCAAUAUAGAGUACUUGUUACUGGAUUACCAGCAUCAGGAAGUUGGCAAGAUUUAAAAGAUCAUAUGCGUGAAGCUGGAGAUGUGUGUUAUGCAGAUGUAUACAAAGAUGGAUCUGGGGUUGUUGAGUUUUUACGUUAUGAUGAUAUGAAAUAUGCAGUUCGUAAGCUUGAUGAUUCGAGAUUCAGAUCUCAUGAGGGUGAAGUAACAUAUAUUCGAGUAAAAGAUGAUUAUGGCGGUGGAAGCAGUCGUCGAAGUCGUGAUUAUAAUAGUCGUAGUCGUAGUCGCUCCGCAAGCUAUUCACCUAGAGAUCGUGGAACACCAACAUAUUCUCCAGUUAGAAAAAGUCGUAGUUAUUCAAGAUCUCGUUCCCGUUCAUAAUAUUGAGGAUAACCAAAUGACUGCCUGUCUCAAUUCAUUGGCAAACAAUUUUCUGAUGAUAAAAAUGUAUUGCUUACUAUACUGGACAACAUUCUUGUCCUCUUGUUUUUAAUUGGUGGACAAAAAGCAAUCCAUUCACUGUGUCGAUGAAUAUCACUAUACACUGGCCAUCUGAUCAAUACAUCAUAAUUUUAUUGCUCUGUUGUUACUUGCUACCACAGUACCAUCUGGCAAGAACAGAAGAAGCUAUCUUCAGACAAUAUUGAUAUUCUCAAAUUUUAUUUUAUAAAUUUCUUUUUUUUUAUACCUUAUAUAUUUUUGAAUAAAAAUAACUUA